GUUGCCGUCGAGAAAGUCCUCAACCGCUGAUGUGGAAAACGCCGUGCGCACGUCCUUCACCAUCUUAUAUGGGUGCAGCACGUAGUUCCGGACCUGCAUGCCCCAUGAAGCCUCCACCAUAUCGCCGCGAAGCUGCU
rnacentral:RNase_MRP_RNA from 14 species